rnacentral:rRNA from 1 species
AGUGAACGCUGGCGGUAGGCCUAACACAUGCAAGUCGAACGGCAGCACAGUAAGAGCUUGCUCUUACGGGUGGCGAGUGGCGGACGGGUGAGGAAUACAUCGGAAUCUACUUUUUCGUGGGGGAUAACGUAGGGAAACUUACGAUAAUACCGCAUACGACCUACGGGUGAAAGCAGGGGAUCUUCGGACCUUGCGCGAUUGAAUGGGCCGAUGUCGGAUUAGCUAGUUGGCGGGGUAAAGGCCCACCAAGGCGACGAUCCGUAGCUGGUCUGAGAGGAUGAUCAGCCACACUGGAACUGAGACACGGUCCAGACUCCUACGGGAGGCAGCAGUGGGGAAUAUUGGACAAUGGGCGCAAGCCUGAUCCAGCCAUACCGCGUGGGUGAAGAAGGCCUUCGGGUUGUAAAGCCCUUUUGUUGGGAAAGAAAAGCAGCAGGUUAAUACCCCGCUGUUCUGACGGUACCCAAAGAAUAAGCACCGGCUAACUUCGUG